rnacentral:rRNA from 1 species
GACGAACGCUGGCGGCGUGCUUAACACAUGCAAGUCGAACGGAAAGGCCCUGCUUUUGUGGGGUUCUCGAUUGGCGAACGGGUGAGUAACACGUGAGUAACCUGCCCUUGACUUUGGGAUAACUUCAGGAAACUGGGGCUAAUACCGGAUAGGAUCUCCUGCUGCAUGGUGUGGGUUGGAAAGUUUCGGCGGUUGUGGCUGGAUUCGCUGCUUAUCAGCUUGUUGGUGGGGUAGUGGUUUACCAAGGCUUUGACGGGUAGCCUGCCUGAGAGGGUGAACGGCGACCUUGGGCCUGAGAGAGGGAGCAGAAGGGUACGGGAGGCAGUAGGGGGGAGUAUGGCACAGCGGGCGGAAGUCUGAUGUAGAAACGCCGGGUGCGGGAUGCCGGCCUUCGGGGUGUAAACCGAUGUCGAAUGUGCCGAGGAGUGAGUGACGGUAAUGGGUCAAGAAGCACCGGCUAACUACGUG